rnacentral:tRNA from 1 species
GGCAUGGUGGCUCAGUGAUAAGAGCGCCCGCCUCAUGAACGGGAGGUCGUGAGUUCGAAUCCCGGCCGAGUCA